AUACGGAGGAUCCGAGCGUUAUCCGGAUUUAUUGGGUUUAAAGGGUGCGCAGGCGGCCAUUUAAGUCAGCGGUUAAAUCGUGGGGCUCAACCCCAUUCUGCCGUUGAUACUGGGUGGCUUGAUUGCGGUCGAGGUUGGCGGAAUUCGUUGUGGAGCGGUGAAAUGCAUAGAUAUGACGAAGAACACCGAUUGCGUAGGCAGCUGACCAGACCGCAAAUGACGCUCAUGCACGAAAGUGCGGGGAUCGAACAGGAUUAGAUACCCUGGUAGUCCGCACAGUAAACGGUGAAUACUUGUUUUCGGCGAUAUAAUGUCGGAGGCAAAGCGAAAGCGAUAAGUAUUCCACCUGGGGAGUACGCCGGCAACGGUGAAACUCAAAUGAAUUGGCGGGG
rnacentral:rRNA from 1 species